AAGUCGAGCGAACGGACGAGAAGCUUGCUUCUCUGAUGUUAGCGGCGGACGGGUGAGUAACACGUGGAUAACCUACCUAUAAGACUGGGAUAACUUCGGGAAACCGGAGCUAAUACCGGAUGAUAUUUUGAACCGCAUGGUUCAAAAGUGAAAGACGGUCUUGCUGUCACUUAUAGAUGGAUCCGCGCUGCAUUAGCUAGUUGGUAAGGUAACGGCUUACCAAGGCAACGAUGCAUAGCCGACCUGAGAGGGUGAUCGGCCACACUGGAACUGAGACACGGUCCAGACUCCUACGGGAGGCAGCAGUAGGGAAUCUUCCGCAAUGGGCGAAAGCCUGACGGAGCAACGCCGCGUGAGUGAUGAAGGUCUUCGGAUCGUAAAACUCUGUUACUAGGGAAGAACAUAUGUGUAAGUAACUGUGCACAUCUUGACGGUACCUAAUCAGAAAGCCACGGCUAACUACGUGCCAGCAGCCGCGGUAAUACGUAGGUGGCAAGCGUUAUCCGGAAUUAUUGGGCGUAAAGCGCGCGUAGGCGGUUUUUUAAGUCUGAUGUGAAAGCCCACGGCUCAACCGUGGAGGGUCAUUGGAAACUGGAAAACUUGAGUGCAGAAGAGGAAAGUGGAAUUCCAUGUGUAGCGGUGAAAUGCGCAGAGAUAUGGAGGAACACCAGUGGCGAAGGCGACUUUCUGGUCUGUAACUGACGCUGAUGUGCGAAAGCG
rnacentral:rRNA from 1 species